GACGAACCGUGCGAACGUUGUUCGGAUUCACUGGGCUUAAAGGGCGCGUAGGCGGUACGCCAAGUCUGGGGUGAAAUCUUUCGGCUCAACCGGAAAAUUGCCUGGGAUACUGGCGUGCUCGAGGGAGGUAGGGGCAGCGGGAACUGCCAGUGGAGCGGUGAAAUGCGUUGAUAUUGGCAGGAACGCCGGUGGCGAAAGCGCGCUGCUGGACCUCUUCUGACGCUGAUGCGCGAAAGCUAGGGGAGCAAACGGG
rnacentral:rRNA from 1 species